UACGGAGGAUGCGAGCGUUAUCCGGAUUUAUUGGGCUUAAAGGGUGCGCAGGCGGAUUUUUAAGUCAGCGGUCAAAUCGUGGGGCUCAACCCCAUCCAGCCGUUGAAACUGGGGAUCUAGAGUGUGCGAGAGGUAUGCGGAAUGCGUGGUGUAGCGGUGAAAUGCAUAGAUAUCACGCAGAACCCCGAUUGCGAAGGCAGCAUACCGGUGCACAACUGACGCUCAGGCACGAAAGCGUGGGUAUCGAACAGG
rnacentral:rRNA from 1 species